UAUCAAUAAGCGGAGGAAAAGAAACCAACAGGGAUUGCCUCAGUAACGGCGAGUGAAGCGGCAAAAGCUCAAAUUUGAAAUCUGGCACUAUUCGUGUCUGAGUUGUAAUUUGGAGAGGCAAC
rnacentral:rRNA from 1 species